rnacentral:rRNA from 1 species
GACGAACGCUGGCGGCGUGCUUAACACAUGCAAGUCGAACGGAAAGGCCCUGCUUUUGUGGGGUGCUCGAGUGGCGAACGGGUGAGUAACACGUGAGUAACCUGCCCUUGACUUUGGGAUAACUUCAGGAAACUGGGGCUAAUACCGGAUAGGAGCUCCUGCUGCAUGGUGGGGGUUGGAAAGUUUCGGCGGUUGGGGAUGGACUCGCGGCUUAUCAGCUUGUUGGUGGGGUAGUGGCUUACCAAGGCUUUGACGGGUAGCCGGCCUGAGAGGGUGACCGGCCACAUUGGGACUGAGAUACGGCCCAGACUCCUACGGGAGGCAGCAGUGGGGAAUAUUGCACAAUGGGCGGAAGCCUGAUGCAGCAACGCCGCGUGCGGGAUGACGGCCUUCGGGUUGUAAACCGCUUUCGCCUGUGACGAAGCGGGAGUGACGGUAAUGGGUAAAGAAGCACCGGCUAACUACGUG